AUGAACGCUGGCGGCGUGCCUCAUACAUGCCAGUCGAGCGAACAGAUGAGGAGCUUGCUCCUCUGACGUUAGCGGCGGACGGGUGAGUAACACGUGGCUAACCUACCUAUAAGUCUGGGAUAACUUCGGGAAACCGGAGCUAAUACCGGAUAAUAUAUUGAACCGCAUGGUUCAAUAGUGAAAUCCGGUUUUGCUGUCACUUAUAGAUGGAUCCGCGCCGCAUUAGCUAGUUGGUAAGGUAACGGCUUACCAAGGCAACGAUGCGUAGCCGACCUGAGAGGGUGAUCGGCCACACUGGAACUGAGACACGGUCCAGACUCCUACGGGAGGCAGCAGUAGGGAAUCUUCCGCAAUGGGCGAAAGCCUGACGGAGCAACGCCGCGUGAGUGAUGAAGGUCUUCGGAUCGUAAAACUCUGUUAUUAGGGAAGAACAAAUGUGUAAGUAACUAUGCACGUCUUGACGGUACCUAAUCAGAAAGCCACGGCUAACUACGUG
rnacentral:rRNA from 1 species